rnacentral:SRP_RNA from 2 species
GCCAGGCAUGUUGGCUCAUGCCUGUAAUCCUAGCACUUUGGGAGGCUGAGAUGGGAGGAUUGCUUGAGCCCGGGAGUUUGAGACAAGCCUGGGCAACAUAGCAAGACUCCAUCUCUA